rnacentral:rRNA from 1 species
AGUGAACGCUGGCGGUAGGCCUAACACAUGCAAGUCGAACGGCAGCACAGUAAGAUCUUGCUCUUACGGGUGGCGAGUGGCGGACGGGUGAGGAAUACAUCGGAAUCUACUUUUUCGUGGGGGAUAACGUAGGGAAACUUACGCUAAUACCGCAUACGACCUACGGGUGAAAGCAUGGGAUCUUCGGACCUUGCGCGAUUGAAUGAGCCGAUGUCGGAUUAGCUAGUUGGCGGGGUAAAGGCCCACCAAGGCGACGAUCCGUAGCUGGUCUGAGAGAAUGAUCAGCCACAUGGGAACGGAGACACGGUCAAGACUCCUAAGGGAGGCAGCAGUGGGGAAUAUUGGACAAUGGGCGCAAGCAUGACCCAGCCAGACCGCGUGGGUGAAGAAGGCCUUCGGGUUGUAAAGCCCGUUUGUUGGGAAAGAAAAGCAGCAGGUUAAUACCCCGCUGUUCUGACGGUACCCAAAGAAUAAGCACCGGCUAACUUCGUG